GGGUGCUGGGACAGUGGGGGUAUCAUUAAUAGAAACAGGAAAGUGAGGAGGAGGAAUGACCGUGGUCCCCUCUCUGCUCAGGCUGCCUGAGCUGGUCUGAGGGUCCUGAUUUUUCACCAGUGCCUUCCCUUCUACCGUUCCCUGAGGACAGGCACCCUCAGAUGGAAACUCCGACUUGCCCUCUACCUCAUCUCUACAGGAACCUUGCUCCUCGAAAAUGAAAGAACACAGUGGAUGCAAAAAAUAUUUCAUAAAUGGAAAAACAUAGAUAUCUAGAAGAACUAAGCCAUGUCUGUCGAGGGCCCUGCACCUGCCAGGUCAUGAGUUACGAAGUUGAUUUACUGACCCAUGAAUGGGUUACAACCCGCAGUUUGGAAACAGCUUGAUGGACCCCCACCUGUGCUUUCCAGCUUCUCCUAGAGCCUCAGGGCCCCAGGAAGGCGGUGUGGUCUCUGAAGACAGCUUCUAGAGGCUUCUAGCAUUCCUUGGCUUGUGGCAUCUUCCAACUUCAAAGCCUACAGCAGUCGACUGAGUCCUUCUCACAUCACAUCUCCUCCUCUGACCCUCACGUUCCCUCUUCCACUUUGAAGGGUCCUUCCUUGUGACAAUGCUGGAUCAUCUCCUUACUUUAAGGAAGCUGCCUGGGGAAGGAGGAGCUGGAUCUAUUUCGUUCUUUGCUAGGGACCGUGCACACCAAAAACAUGCUGAAUGUUUGGGUCCUCUCCUGGGAGAAACACUUCAACUUUUGCAAAAGAUUAAUUCAUCACCAUGGCGCCCAGAAAAAAAAUGCAAAAGAGAAGGCUCAAGUUGUGGCAGACCCAAGGUGGCUGCAAACUCUUUGAGAUUUUCCUCAUCGAGAGGUGGGGGUCUAAAUCCCCUCCCUUGAACCUAGGCAGGCCCUCUGACUGCCUGACCAACAGAAUAGCGUGGAAGCAACGCUGUACCAGUUUUUGAGGCUAAGCCUGAAGAGACUGGCAGUUCCCACUUCCUGUCUUUUGGGAAUAAUUGUUCUUGAAACCUAAGUGCUAUGCUGUGAGGAAGCCAAGCAGCCUCGUUGACAGGCCCACACUGAGCGGAACCAAACCCUGGCCAGCAGCUCCUGCUGUGCCCCGAGCUGACAGCCAGGUUUGACUUGUCUUGCAUACCAGUAUGUCAUGUUGGAUGAGGAUCCCCCAGCCCCAGUAGGGCCAUCUCAGCUGAUGCUCCAAGGAGCAGAGAUGAGCCAUCCCCACCGAGCCCUGCCCAAAUCACAGAUUUGUGAGCAAAAUAAAUACGUUAUUUUAAGCU
rnacentral:lncRNA from 1 species